rnacentral:rRNA from 1 species
GACGAACCGUGCGAACGUUGUUCGGAAUCACUGGGCUUAAAGGGCGCGUAGGCGGGUUCUCAAGUCAGUUGUGAAAUCUCCGGGCUUAACUCGGAAAGGUCAACUGAUACUGUGCGACUAGAGUGCGGAAGGGGCAACUGGAAUUCUUGGUGUAGCGGUGAAAUGCGUAGAUAUCAAGAGGAACACCUGCGGCGAAGGCGGGUUGCUGGGCCGACACUGACGCUGAGGCGCGAAAGCCAGGGGAGCGAACGGG